rnacentral:rRNA from 1 species
GGGGAAUAUUGCACAAUGGGGGAAACCCUGAUGCAGCGACGCCGCGUGAGUGAAGAAGUAUUUCGGUAUGUAAAGCUCUAUCAGCAGGGAAGAUAAUGACAGUACCUGACUAAGAAGCCCCGGCUAACUACGUGCCAGCAGCCGCGGUAAUACGUAGGGGGCAAGCGUUAUCCGGAUUUACUGGGUGUAAAGGGAGCGUAGACGGAAUGGCAAGUCUGAAGUGAAAACCCCGGGCUCAACCUGGGGACUGCUUUGGAAACUGUUGUUCUAGAGUGUUGGAGAGGUAAGUGGAAUUCCUGGUGUAGCGGUGAAAUGCGUAGAUAUCAGGAAGAACACCGGAGGCGAAGGCGGCUUACUGGACAAUAACUGACGUUGAGGCUCGAAAGCGUGGGGAUCAAACAGGAUUAGAUACCCUGGUAGUCCACGCUGUAAACGAUGAAUACUAGGUGUCGGGGAGCAAAGCUUCUCGGUGCCGUCGCUAACGCAAUAAGUAUUCCACCUGGGGAGUACGUUCGCAAGAAUG